CAGUAGCCACGGUAAUACGAACCGUGCGAACGUUAUUCGGAAUCACUGGGCUUAAAGCGCGUGUAGGCGGGAGGGCACGUCCGUCGCUGGAAUCCCCCGGCUCAACCGGGGAACGGGCGCGGAUACGACUCUUCUGGAGGAACGUAGGGGGACCUGGAACUUCCGGUGGAGCGGUGAAAUGCGUUGAGAUCGGAAGGAACGCCCGUGGCGAAAGCGAGGUCCUGGACGUUUACUGACGCUGAGACGCGAAAGCCAGGGGAGCGAACGGGAUUAGAGACCCGUGUAGUCCCUGUCUCUUAUA
rnacentral:rRNA from 1 species